GAAAUGGAAGAUGGAUGCUCGCAGUAAAGUGCUUCCUUACCCAACAAAUUAUGAUUUGGGAAAACAAUUAAAAAUAUUUUUGGACUUGCACUUGUGCUACAAUCAGCUGAUUUCAGUACGUGUGGAACUGAAGAGGAAGAUGGGGGGCAAAAGUGUGGAUAUGGACAUUAUUUUUUAUUUUUAUUGCACAAAGGAGAAGAGCACAGUGGGGAAAGUGCAAACUACACUAACAGUAACUGCAUUAUCCUGCCAACACAACUUCGGCUCUUUGCCAGCUCCUGCUAGGACAGCAUGCUAACACUAAGCUAACCAAGAACCCAGAGUGACUUAAAGCUGAGUGAAUCCUGACCCCGCCCAGCAGCCAGACCCUGAACUUCAGCAGGUAACAUCUGUGACGAGCAGUCAAGCUGUACCUGUUUCUACCUGUUCAUGUUACUAAAGUAGAAUCACUGUGGAAAUUACUGUGAAGUUUCUUUGCUUUGUUUUGUUGGCUUUGUGUUCACAUGUAAAUGCUUUGAGAAAGAUCAUAUGUGUGUCCUUAUUAGGAUUGGGAUAUGUGUUGGUGUGUGGGGCUGUAGUCAGUAGAUUUAUAUUGAUAAAUGGUAAUUAUGAGACUAUGCGUUCCAUGUAAUUUUACGGAAAAAUGCUGAUAUAAUGUAAAAAGUAACAAAUUACUGUCUUCUGGGCGCAAUUACUUUUAGUAUCAACACCAAGAGUGGAAAUACUAUCAAUAUGCACAAACGUUUCUCAUCCACUCGUCUUCCAUAUGGUGCUUAGUGAUGAUGGUGACUCUCAAAGUGGAGGCAAUGAGAGUUGAUAAUGGAAUCAGAAUCGCUAAAUUCUUAUGAAUUCUAGUCGUACUACAGGACAAUUUUUCACUGUGCCAGAGUCUAUGUUAAAAAGCUCAGGUACAGUAUGGCCUGUAGCAUUGUAUGGUAGAUUUUUUUUUAUGAUUUUUUAUUAUUUUAUUUUUUUUUACCUGCUUUGUGGUGGCAGGGCACUGGGUUUACUGUCAGUGGUUUCAUUCACAGUCAUGUUGGACCUGUAGUAACAAACACAUGGUUUACUGGGAUGUAGAUUUGUGUUAUAAUGUUAGAAUGAACAGAGAAUUGACAUUUAAAGUACCUUUAACUGUUAAUUCUGAAUUUAAAGCCAUAUGAACGUUAUGUAAAAUCUAUAUCUCGGGCAUGCAUUCUGCAGUAUUUAAGUGUUGGUGUUAGCAUGCCCACAUACCACUUAUUUAAAUAGGUUUGUUGUGCACUGAUAUAGGGUACUCAUGUCACCACGUUCCUCACAUCUCCCAGUGUUAGUAUGGGCAAGGGUAAGAAUCUGCUUCUUUAUAUGCCUUGAUUUCUUUGUGCCACACUUACACAUGUGACCACAUGUGUCCUAUUCAUGACAUAAAAAUUCACACUAACAUUUCUGCUCUUUCUUACACGUCAUGAGAUGUUUGAACAUGCUGAUAUGGUAGAUUAUGCAAGAUUUCUCUUAUGCUUUUAUAUUAUCUAAUAUAUUAUCAGAGGACCUCAACAUCCUCUGGAGUGGAGGAUGUUGAGGUCAUUAACUCUGCAACUGAAGUGAGUUUUGUAACACAAUCACACUCAUUUUCAAAUGUGUAAAAAUUACACAAUGUUAGACAUUUUAUAGGCAGUCACCACAAGAGAUAUAAUUGGAAAGAUACACAAAUACAAGAUUAUAGAACUUCUAGCAUUGGUAUUUAAUGAAAACUGUUUUCUUCUUUUUUUUUUUUCAGUUUAGCUAGUAUUUAUAUAGGUUCUCAUUGUAAGGUAAAGAUCCUACAAUCACACAAUUCUUAUUCAAGCACUUGGCAACAGUGGGAAGGAAAAACUCCCUAUUAAAAAAGAGGAAGCCGCCAGCAGAACCAGGCUCAGGGAGGCAGCCUUCCACCAUUGUCUCAUACAUGAAGCUGUAUAGCCAAUAUUCAGAACACGUGACACAAGUGUAGAAAAAUGGCAAGCCUUUAAUUCCUGCUCAUCGAAAACUAAAAAGUAAUCGCAGAUCGCAAAACCAAUUCAACUCCAAUUGCUCCACAAAAGUUGUAAUAAAACUCAUCCAACAGAAGUCAUGAAACAAAGACUGAAGAAUAACAUGUAAAAAGCAAACUAAGACGUGAAGGAAUAAUAAGUAGAUAUAGAAAGUCCACAAAUGAAAAACAUUGGGUUAGAGAACCCAGGACCAUGAAAUACCUGAAAAUUCAAAGGGAAAAAAAGAACAGAACUCAGACAGGAAGCAUACUUAAACCAAAAAGCAACUAAGAAAACUCUAACGUGAUCAUGACAGGUGAGAUAAAAGACAAUCUAUAGGAGAUUAUUCCUGUGUUUAAAUUUUUUUCUUUUCUUUUUUUAAUGCUCUGGUAUUUUGUUGUGAAGCACUUUGUGAUCUUUCUCUCAAAAGUUGAUAUAGAAAUUACAUUUUCUAUCAGUCUGAAAAAACUGCUAUACAUACACGACUAGAAUCAUCCGUGACGUUACAUGCCAAUACUGCUGGUUGUAUAACAUCAUUGCAUAAUGAAUAAUUGGUUGACUGGCAUUCAAGCACUCAGCUGAUCCUGAUGGUAUACAUUUAUAAAUGGUUACAAUUUAAAAAAUCUUUCAAUUUCAUGUUGCAAUAUGUUUGAUACACGUCCUAGGUUUAAAUUCGCCAGCUGGGAUUUCUGUAUGUUGCUUGCACACUGUAACAUCAGUAAUAGCUGAAUUUCUUAUGUAAACGCUCAUUAUUUUCAUAUAGUUAUCAAAUAAUAUUGAAUAUUACUUUUAAUUUGUUUGUAUAUAUUAAGUUUAGCAGCAGUAAACGCAUGCUGGUUCCGUAUCAAAGUAACAAACUUUGAGACCGCACUAGUACUUGGAACUGGAUGAAAGAUUCCAGGUGCAAGUACAGGCUUGGUUGUUUGCGACAUCACUCAUGUAGUUUCGUCACUUUGAAAUGAAUCCUUGCCCAGUGUACAAUGAAAUCUUUGUUCCGCUCAUGCACAAGCCACACCACCACCAGUGUUUUGGCCAAUUUAUGGCAUAUCCAGCAUUCUUUUUGAAUUUUGUAUCCUCAUGCCUAUAUUCAGUGUUGGGAAGGUUACUUUUAAAAUGUAUUCCAUUACAGAUUACAUGUCCCAAAAUGUAUUUUGUAACAUAUUCCGUUACGUUACUCAAUAAAAGUAACAUAUUCUGA
ensembl:lncRNA